AGUCUAAGUGGAGCAGUCUUUUAGUGUAGAGUACAGAUUGUAUGGUUUUGGGGAGCAAUCCCUUGCCAUACUGUCUAACUCCGAAGCUCUCAGAUGCGUAGAAGCUUGGAAAAAGUGGUUCGGGUUAAGCUUGAAUCACGAGAGGGGAACAACCCAGAGGACAGUUAAGGCCCUAAAUUUCUGAUUAAGUGUACUUAAGGUUUUUUUGGUCGUAGACAUCGAGGAGGUGGGCUUAGAAGCAGCCAUCCUCUAAGGAUAUCGUAACAGAUCACUCGAUGAGGCCUUAGGGACCGCAAAUGGACGGGACUAAAAUCAGAAGCCGAUACUGUCCCCCGCUGCGUAAGCAGUGCCGGGGUAUGUGGGCGGUUUGCGUGGAUAGAAGUAUGUUUGUGAAAGUGUAUGGACCGCGUAAUCAUGUGAAUGCUAGCAGUAGUAGUAUCUAAGUGAGGUGAGAAACCUCAUCGUCGAAAGAGCAAGGGUUCCUUGGCACUGUUUGUCAGCCAAGGGUUAGUCGAUCCUAAGUCUGAAUCCUAACCGAUUUAGACGAAAGGGAAACUGGUUAAUAUUCCAGUACCAUGCAAAAAUAAAGGUGACGCUUUAAGAUAAAUUGAGCAGACUUGUCUGUCUGUCUAAGUGUUUAAAACCAGGGAGUUAUGUCACGUAGAGAACUGGUUGAAUGCAUUAUGGGCCGCAAGGUUCAGUUGAGUCUUAGAGCCUUUGAAAAACCGAUUUGUAUGUUCGUACCCAGAACCAACACUGGUGCUCUGGCUGAGUAAGCCAAGACGUGUGAGAAUAAUCAUCCUAAGGGAAUUCGGCAAAAUGGUCCUGUGACUUCGGUUGAAGGGAUCCCAGCUAUUGUGAUUUUUAUUGUGAUUGCUGGGCUAAGAUAUUGGAUCGGCCCGACUGUUUAACAAAAACGUAGCCGGCUGCAAGAUAGGAAUGUUUAGUAUAGCCGGUGACUUCUGCCCAGUGCUAGUAUCUGAAAGCGGUUUUCAAGCUGCCUAAGGACUGGUAAACGGCGGGGGUAACUAUGACCCUCUUAAGGUAGCGAAAUACCUUGGCCAUUAAAUGUGGUCGUGCAUGAAUGGAGUAACGAGGCUGAUACUGUCCCUAGGAUGAACCUCAUGAACUUACUAUUCUGGGGAACGGGCCAGAGACUUCUAGUGGGACGAUGAGACCCCGUAGAGCUUUACUGUAGCUUGUAGCUGUUAAUUUGUGAUGUUUGCACAGAGUAUAUGGGAGGCGUUGAAGCAAAAUUUCCGGAUUUUGUGGAGCCAACAAUGUAACACCAUACCUUCAUUACGGAUUGACUUACCAUAAUAGGAACACCUAUAGGCGGACAGUUUGAGUGGGGCGCUACCCUCCCGAAAGAAUAUCGGGAGGACCCUAAGAUCAGCUCAGUCCGGUUGGAAACCGGAUGUCGAGGGCAAGACCAAAAGCUGGUUUAAUUGAGAUCUGAAAAGCAAGGAUUUCAGGUACGAAAGUAGGGUCUAGAGAACCUCCGUGUCUCUCUUACUGAGAGCCGGAAUUGAUAGAAAAGCUACCUCGGGGAUAAUUGAGUGGUGCCAUGCUAGAGUACAUAUCGACCAUGGCGCUUGCGACUUCGUUGUCGGCUCUGCUUAUCCUGGUUGUGCAGCAGCAACCAAGGGUGCGGGAGUUCACCGAUUAAAAAGCAUCGUGAGCUGGGUUCAGAACGCUGUGAAGCAGUUUGUUUUAUAUCUACUAGAAGUGUUGAGAGUCUGAGGAGAAGUUGCUCUUAGUACGAAAGGAACGGAGUGCCCGAGCCACUGGUGUAUCAGUUGUCUGACAAGG
rnacentral:rRNA from 1 species